rnacentral:rRNA from 1 species
GAUCAUGGCUCAGGACGAACGCUGGCGGCGUGCUUCAUACAUGCAAGUCGAACGAUAAGGCACCUUCGGGUGUACAUAAGUGGCGGACGGGUGAGUAAUGUGUAGAGAAUCUGCCCUUAAGCGGGGGACAACAGCUGGAAACGGUUGCUAAUACCCCAUAUGAGCGUAGCUGAAAUGCUAUUCUUGAAAACUCCGGUGCUUAAGGAUGAGUCUGCAUCUGAUUAGCUAGUUGGGGGUGUAAUGGACCACCAAGGCGACGAUCAGUAGCUGGUUUGAGAGGAUGAUCAGCCACAAUGGGACUGAGACACGGCCCAUACUCCUACGGGAGGCAGCAGUAGGGAAUUUUGCGCAAUGGGCGAAAGCCUGACGCCAGCAACGCCGCGUGACUGAAGAAGCCCUUCGGGGUGUAAAGGUCUGUCACAGGGGACGAAAAAUGACGGUACCCUGAGAGGAAGCAUCGGCUAACUCCGUGCCAGCAGCUGC